rnacentral:rRNA from 1 species
CCACAUAAGCAGGUGAAACUUCUUAGAGGAACUGGCGUCCGAAAAGGCGCACGAGAAAGAGCAAUAACAGGUCUGUGAUGCCCUAAGAUGUCCGGGGCCGCACGCGUGCUACAAUGACGAUGCUACUGAGCAUGAUUAACUUGUCCGAAAGGAUUGGUGAAACUGUUCAAUAAUCGUCGUGCCUGGGAUUGGGGUUUGUAAUUAUCCCCCAUGAACCAGGAAUUCCUAGUAAGCACAAGUCAUAAGCUUGUGCUGAUUACGUCCCUGCCCUUUGUACACACCGCCCGUCGCUACUACCGAUUGAAUGGUUUAGCAAGGACAUUGGAUUGAGUGCAAGCGGCUCACGCUGCUUGUGCCUGAGAAGAUGUCCGAACUUGAUCAUUUAGAGGAAGUAAAAGUCGUAACAAGGUUUCCGUAGGUGAACCUGCGGAAGGAUCAUUAUCA